rnacentral:sRNA from 1 species
GAGGCUGGGGCGUCAUCGGGGCCGGUUAGAAGCUCUGCUCCCCGGCGGGGACACUCAGUCGCGUCGGCACCGCGGAGCGGGCUGCGUCAGGUGGCUGGCCGGCGCGGCGCUCCCCUGCUCUCUGGCUCCGGACUGCGGCGCGGCGGCUGGAGCGAGCCCCUGUCCCGGCGCGGGGCGGCGGCGGGCGGCCGGCAGGCGCUGCCUUGCGUGUGAGUGCACCUCACUCACAUGUAAGUCGGGGAGCGCCGGGGCCUCCCGCGGAAGUGCGAGUCGCCCGGCGCAGGCAAGAGCCGCCGGGUCCGGGACAAGGCAGGGGCGCCCGGGCGCCGCUGCCUUGCCCCGGGGCGCCUCCGGGCACCCUCCAAUUCUCUCUCUUUUCUCUUCUCCAUUGGCGUGCCCAAGAGCCAAACCAAGGAGCGCCUGAGGGUGCUGGAGAAUCUGGUAAAAGCACCAUUGUGAAGCAGAUGAGGAUCCUGCAUGUUAAUGGGUUUAAUGGAGACAGUGAGAAGGCAACCAAAGUGCAGGACAUCAAAAACAACCUGAAAGAGGCGAUUGAAACCAUUGUGGCCGCCAUGAGCAACCUGGUGCCCCCCGUGGAGCUGGCCAACCCCGAGAACCAGUUCAGAGUGGACUACAUUCUGAGUGUGAUGAACGUGCCUGACUUUGACUUCCCUCCCGAAUUCUAUGAGCACGCCAAGGCUCUGUGGGAGGAUGA